rnacentral:rRNA from 1 species
UACGAAGGGGGCUAGCGUUGCUCGGAAUCACUGGGCGUAAAGCGCACGUAGGCGGCUUUUUAAGUCAGAGGUGAAAUCCUGGAGCUCAACUCCAGAACUGCCUUUGAUACUGAGAGGCUUGAGUCCGGGAGAGGUGAGUGGAACUGCGAGUGUAGAGGUGAAAUUCGUAGAGAUCAUGAGGAAGACCAGUGGCGAAGGCGGGUCUCUGGACAGUUCCUGACACUGAGACACGAAGGCCAGGGGAGCAAACGGG